UACGGAGGGGGCGAGCGUUAUUCGGAAUCAUUGGGCGUAAAGGGCGCGUAGGCGGCUUCGCAAGUCAAAGGUGAAAUCCCUCGGCUCAACCGAGGAAUUGCCUUUGAAACUGCGUGGCUUGAGGCCGGGAGGGGGCGGUGGAAUUCCCAGUGUAGCGGUGAAAUGCGUAGAGAUUGGGAGGAACACCAGUGGCGAAGGCGGCCGCCUGGACCGGUUCUGACGCUGAUGCGCGAAAGCGUGGGUAGCAAACAGG
rnacentral:rRNA from 1 species